UACGUAGGGGGGCAAGCGUUGUCCGGAAUCAUUGGGCGUAAAGAGCGUGUAGGCGGCCCGAUAAGUCCGCUGUGAAAGUCCAGGGCUCAACCCUGGGAUGCCGGUGGAUACUGUCGGGCUCGAGUCCGGAAGAGGAGUGUGGAAUUCCUGGUGUAGCGGUGAAAUGCGCAGAUAUCAGGAGGAACACCAAUGGCGAAGGCAGCACUCUGGGACGUGACUGACGCUGAGACGCGAAAGCGUGGGGAGCGAACAGG
rnacentral:rRNA from 1 species